rnacentral:rRNA from 1 species
CCUACGGGAGGCUGCAGUAGGGAAUCUUCCACAAUGGACGAAAGCCUGAUGGAGCAACGCCGCGUGAGUGAAGAAGGGUUUCGGCUCGUAAAGCUCUGUUGGCAGGGAAGAAAGGUAGCGGUAGUAAUCAGCAGUUAUUUGACGGUAAUUGCUUAGGAAGUAACGGCUAACUACGUGCCAGCAGCCGCGGUAAUACGUAGGUGGCAAGCGUUGUCCGGAUUUAUUGGGCGUAAAGCGAGUGCAGGCGGUUCAAUAAGUCUAAUGUGAAAGCCUUCGGCUCAACGGGAGAAUUGCAUCAGAAACUGUUGAACUUGAGUGCAGAAGAGGAGAGUGGAACUCCAUGUGUAGCGGUGGAAUGCGUAGAUAUAUGGAAGAACACCAGUGGCGAAGGCGACUCUCUGGUCUGCAACUGACGCUGAGGCUCGAAAGCAUGGGUAGCGAACAGGAUUAGAUACCCUAGUAGUC